CUUUAUUUGUACGCCUGUAUACUAUGUUUAUUGAAUCAAAUCCGUAUAAAAUACGGACAUUCUGUGUAUUGUGCAUUAUGAUCUCAACGAAAGCUUUACUGAAUCGAUUCUUUAGAACAAACUCGCAUGCGUGUGAAUCAAUUUACUUGAUUCACUCUUGAUUCUUCAGAAACUACGGAAACCUUAUUUGUAUUCCUGUUUUCAAAUUGUAAACAAUAAUCACACUUUCAUGCUGCAUGAAAUUAAAGUAUGAACUUUCCUCAACCCAUUACGUGUGCAUGAACUCAACAAAUGCAGUCCAUGCGUCUGUAUCGAUUCGCUCGAUCGAGUCAUUUAUGUUUCCCGAAGAAGAUCCGAAUCGUUUAUGAAUCUCAUCACUGUUAGAAACCCAAGAGAAGAGAUCCUCUUCCCUUAACAUCAUCAGAGGAAAAAUCUGCUUCUUAAUCAAUUAGUUUCAGCGUUUGUCUCUUCUCGAGCAAGGCGUGCUGAAACACUUUACACAAGAUUUACGUAAGAUUAAUGAAUUGAUUGCUUCUUCUGUAAUAUCACAGGUUCCUGCCAUUAAUGAUCUCUGUUCUGCCUUUUUUUUUCAUGCACAUGAGGAGAUAGCCUUUGGACUCAAGGUUUCAUUUGACUCUCCUGCUGUUGUUUUUUUUUCAGCUGUAAUUCAUAACGUGCUCUGUGACCUUCUCCCUCCCUCAGGACUCUGUGGUCUGUGUGUUCUGGUGUCUGCUGAGUCACCAGAAAUCUGCCAAGACACUGACACUUGCGCCUGCUCCAACAUCUGGUGCAUAAGGGCUUUAAGGUUUCCAGAACUAAGCUGCAAUAUUGCAUGGACACUUAAGUAUUUGAACUUUCUCAAGGCUGUCAUUCUAGACACAAAACCUCCUCCACUGCAACAUCCUUUGACCUGGACUGACGCUAUAGUGGUCACUUAUCACUCCCUCAGAAGCACCCUUUGUUCCGCCCCUGGGUCACCUGCUCACUUCAAGCCCUUCCACCUCUGUGCCUGUGGACACCGGGGCACGGCCUCUGGGGAACGUGAGGGGGGGGAAAUGCAUCAUUGUGCGUUUUUAUCCAAAACAUUAGACAUUGUUGCUCAAGGCUUACCUGUGCGUCUGGGGGCUGUCUCCGCAUGUGCUUUGAUGGUUUGAUGGUAAAAUUUACAGACCCAUUAAAUUAAUUAAUCAGUAAUUUAAUAGAUAAUUAAAUUAACAUAUGACUAUUUAUUCUCUGUUCUACUAACAAUCUCGAAAUUCGUGUCACAUCCUCUUUUGAUAAUGUAGGUCGCGCUCUCGCACGCCUCCUUAAUUCUCGGGAUGAUACUUGGGAUGACUGAUAUUGUCUGUCUAAAAAUCGUACAUACUACUAGUAUCAGGUCUGAUCUCUUCCCUCCAGCCCUCUAGGGAUCUUUGUUAAUGGUUCUUGUUCUAAACCCUCAGACGGUUCUUGUUUUAUAAUUUAUAAUAUCACACCUCUGUGGUUAUUCUGUGUUCAAUCAAUAUAUCAGCCUGAUAUUCUGCAUGAGACAUACGCUCUUUCUUUCUCAUUUGAUUUUUGUCAUCUUGAUUGUGGACAAAUUCUCUAAAUGGGUAGAAGUUUUUCCCUGUUUUCGAGAGAACACGAAGGUAGUUACUCGUUUUAAUUUUAUUUACAAGUGCCUUUCAAAGUACCUAAGAACACUGGACAGUAAAAAAGAAAGACAAACAAUAAAAGCAGAACAACAAAACAACUACAAUAAAAUAAUAAGAAAUCAAUAAUAAUAAUUAUUGUUAUAGUUAUGGGGUUUCAAAUGCCAUAGACUCAGACAAGGGUACCCGUUUUACCUCAAAAGUCACACAAAACCUUUGUAAGUAUCUCUAAACUAAACUGGUGUUUUCACACUCCUAAAUCCUCUGGUAUCGUAGAACGUACUAAUCGAACAUUGAAAGACAAAUUAAGGUCAUGCAGGACACAGGUUUGGUUCUGUAAUCCAUAAUUCAUUCUGGCUGAAAUUCGUGUGACACCAAGAAAUUAUUCUCCCCUGGAAGAACUCCGGCUCCGGGUACCUCUGAUUUGAAAAUGCAUAUGGAUGAGUAUUCUGCAGCCUUUAUAGAUAAGUUGCAUAAAAUUUGUACCAAGGUCAAUAAUACAAUAUUAUCUCCACCACACACCCCUUUCACGUGGGAGACAGGUGCUGGUGUGAUCUUUUUUUAAAGUAAUGAUUUGGACAAUUGGGAAAACAAUAUAAUGGGCCUGCAGACAUAGUCGCCAUUACUUUUGCUGCUGUUUUAACUGAUCUUUUUCCACAGUGGAUCCAUGCCACUCGAUUGAAGAAGGCUCCAUAACAAAGUUGUGUUACAAUAACAAGUUUGCUGCUAUUAACGCUUUUUGUGUCCCUAUCUAGUCUCUCUCUGGCCAGUUUUCUCUCUCUCUCUCUCUCUCUCUCUCUCUCUGAGCUCUACACAGAUUUGACUGAGAAUCCUCAAGAUGUUGUGAACAAAGAGGGGAAGAGAUCUUGCGCCCCAUUUGGAACCAAUCAUCCUCACUACAACCAUGACAGUCCUCAUCACGGGUUUCGUGACUUCAUUGUUGCUCGGGGCAGGGCUACCCGCCCGAGCCUUCAUGACUUCAUCAUUGCUCGGGGCAGGGUUACCCGCCCGAGCCUUCAGGACCACUUCAUUGCUCGGAGCAGGGUUACCCGCUCGAGCUGGACUUCGAGACAACAUCUUCUGGACUAACUUCACUAACUGGACCACACGAAUGUGUUAUGUCUUUCAUCUGAUGCCGUUUUCUACUAUUAUUACACAUCUCUAUGCUCUAAAACUCUGUAUUCUUACAGGACUCUGUUCUCACUAUAGGUCGAUAUGCCUUCUAAUUUCAUUUUUCCCCUCACUGUUUUAGAACAAAUUACUCUGAAGGAAGUAGCGUGUAUCUGGGAAUUAAGAGGUUUUGAGUUUCUCUAAGCUCCGGUGAGGUGGGACGAGGGCUGAUUGGGCAUGCCCGCCCUCUGAGCACCAAUAUACGUCAAGAAGGGCAAAGAUUAACUCAGAAUUAAUUCUCGAUAUAAUCACAUAUAUGAUCAUGAGGUGAUAAUGAUUAAAUAGGAUGCUAGGAUUUGAUAAUAGUGAUACUAUUAUCAAAGGGGGGGAUUGUUAGGUUUAUAUAAGUAUUAAUUCUUGGCCAAGAAUUCAGCAAAAUUAUUCUGUGUCAAAAUUAUAUUAGUUGAAACGACCUUAGGUCCAGCUGGACAUUGUUUGGGAACAUUUUGUUUAUGAAAUGUGUAUUUUGAACAGAGAAGUGUCUGAAGGUCUGUUUUGGUGUCAGAUCGACUCACACACACCCUGAAAUGGUAGAAUUAAAGUUCAUGUUUAUGUUAAUCCAUUCAGUUGAAACUUAGGUCAUAGCUUCAUAAAAGCUAUGAAAUAUACUGAAAUAUAUUGAAAUAUACUAUGGUAGUGAUUUGGAUCCCGUAAUUAAUGAAUGCAUUCCGUGAUUAAUGUUAGUUUUAUAGUUUUAGAUUAGUUUCAUAAUGACAUUAUAAUUAUAGUUAAGAUCUUAUGAUUCUAAGGGUUUUUAGUUUAAAAGCAUUAACCUAAUUUAGUUAUGAGUUUAAUCCUGUUAGUUGUUUAAUUGUUCUCUCUCUUUCAGACAUAUUCUCAUUGUUCUUGUGGUUAAGUUGUUCUUAUUUUUAAUGUUUAUUUUCUUAUAACAUUCUUUGUUUUAGCAUUGUUUUAGACAUAUUGUUAUUUGUUAUUUUGCUUAUGUUGAUGAAAUCAAGAUGUAAUUUACUGACUUAACACACAUUUAUGUGUUAAGGAGUUAUGUUAAAUUAUUAGAUCCUUUCUGUGCAAACGUGUCUUUGACCUUCUCUGAAUAGACUCCGUAGACUAGACAUUCUGUGUUUAGACAUUCCAUGCUGAUAUCUAUCUGUACCUUACUGUCAUCAGAAAUGUUUUUAUAUUAUGAUUGAUUCAAGAUCAUUACACACUUCCACAUAGACACACACCCAUUACACACACACACACAUGAAGACAAAACAUAAACACAGAAACACUAUAAGACGUUUCCAAAGAUGUUUUCAUUUUGACGAAGUGACUGUGCGAAUAAACUGACAUGUGAAUCUCUGA